GAAGAUUUAGUUAAUAAAUAACAUUAGAUUGUCAAACUAAAAUUAUCAAGUAAGGUAUUCUUCU
rnacentral:tRNA from 1 species